GCGGGAUUAGUACACUGGUAGUAUAUCUCCUUCCCAAGGAGAAGAAGCGGGUCCGAUUCCCGUAUCCCGCU
rnacentral:tRNA from 1 species